rnacentral:rRNA from 1 species
UGCAAGUCGAGCGAACAGAUAAGGAGCUUGCUCCUUUGACGUUAGCGGCGGACGGGUGAGUAACACGUGGAUAACCUACCUAUAAGACUGGGAUAACUUCGGGAAACCGGAGCUAAUACCGGAUAAGAUUUUGAACCGCAUGGUUCAAUAGUGAAAGACGGCCUUGCUGUCACUUAUAGAUGGAUCCGCGCCGUAUUAGCUAGUUGGUAAGGUAACGGCUUACCAAGGCAACGAUACGUAGCCGACCUGAGAGGGUGAUCGGCCACACUGGAACUGAGACACGGUCCAGACUCCUACGGGAGGCAGCAGUAGGGAAUCUUCCGCAAUGGGCGAAAGCCUGACGGAGCAACGCCGCGUGAGUGAUGAAGGUCUUCGGAUCGUAAAACUCUGUUAUCAGGGAAGAACAAACGUGUAAGUAACUGUGCACGUCUUGACGGUACCUGAUCAGAAAGCCACGGCUAACUACGUGCCAGCAGCCGCGGUAAUACGUAGGUGGCAAGCGUUAUCCGGAAUUAUUGGGCGUAAAGCGCGCGUAGGCGGUUUUUUAAGUCUGAUGUGAAAGCCCACGGCUCAACCGUGGAGGGUCAUUGGAAACUGGAAAACUUGAGUGCAGAAGAGGAAAGUGGAAUUCCAUGUGUAGCGGUGAAAUGCGCAGAGAUAUGGAGGAACACCAGUGGCGAAGGCGACUUUCUGGUCUGUAACUGACGCUGAUGUGCGAAAGCGUGGGGAUCAAACAGGAUUAGAUA